CCCUUUUUUACCACCUGGCAAAGCAGGAGGGAAGGGAGCACUAGGUCUCAUGCUGCAAUAAGGAUGGGACCCAGUGGCCCUUGCUCCACAUCUGCUCCAGAUGCAUCCAUGUACGGACAAUGCUGCUCCUCAUUAAGGGGGUCUCCAGCACUUUGCUUCCAGCCCAGAAUUAAUGGCUCAGCUGGCCUGAAGAACCAAGAGUGACCAGCCCCAUGCCAUGCAGGGGUGCAGAGCAGCCCAAGCAGGUUUCACCUCAGGAAGGGGUCCAGUGAGGUUGCUGCUGAGUAGUGCUCCAUAGUGUCAGGCUAGCAGUGUCCCAGUUCCUUCAGGGUAAGCCUGGGGCUUUUCUGGGUGUUUGUGCUCCCUUAAAUAGGAAAUUUGGCAUCCUGAGCUAAGCAUCUUCUCUACCUGGGUGUCCCAAAUGGUUAACAAUUCCAGCAGCAACAGACGGGUGGUGAGGAGAUUGAUUGCCUCCUGAAAGGUACAUAAAGUCUCGCUCUUCUGCAGAAACACAACACUUGUUCAACCAAGUAAAUAAGUGGUUUAAAACCCCUCUUGCAGCAGCUGACCCUACACGUGUUUAUCCAAGUGACUGGAGCAGUGCCAGUCUCUCUGCUUUCAGCCUUUGACUUCCCACGAACUGCUGACCCAUCAUGUGACGGGCCCGUGGUGGGGCCGCUGCCGCAAGAUGUGCUAUCGGCACUUUUCACCCUGAUGCUCGUGUGAGGAAGGGCCCCCAGCUCCUCCCGGUCCCAUGUGUGCUGGGGCUCUGGCAGCACCCAGCUCCAGCCUCUGGCAGUGGGCAAACCCCAUGUGCUGUCAGAGGGAGAGCAGCGAGCUUAGGUACCACCAGAGCCCAUCCCUUGUGGAGAGAUGCUUCCCUGCUCCCCCAGAGCAGCUGCUUCCUCAUGCCCACCCCGGCCUUCAGAGCACAUCACAGGCCAUUCUGCAGGCUGCCAGAGCUGGGCUCCUGUUUGACCAGUCCCUUUGCUCAGUGGGAGGUUUUUGCUUAGUCCCUCAGCACAUGACUUACAGGGUGGCUCCAAACUGCUCUUGCUCUUCCUGGGCUGAAGCCUGUUUACAAAACAGUGGCUGGAAGCUGCUAUUUAUCCUUACAUACACAUUACAUUCAGAGUUGCUAAAUAGGCAAGCCCAAAAUGAAAGUCAUUUGGGUUUUCUUUAAUUAGAAUAAAAUGCUGAUGAAUCAUGAGGUUCUGUACCUCAAGGAUGCACCAGGAAUUGACUUUGGCUGCAGACAGCAAGGUACAGCAGUCAGCAGAGCCGGCUCACUGCCUUGACAUCUGCUGGAAAGACUUGUUUUUCCCUCCCGAGUCACAUGCUAGCUUGUGAUCUGAUCAUGAGAUACAAAGGAUAACUUUCCAAUAUUUACUCUUCUCAUCUGCAAUUUCAAAAGGCAGAGGAAAAGAGCAAAAAGCAGCGUAAGGGAGGAAAACACAGGCCCCCAUCCUCAUUUGGUUAGUGUUGCUGUAGGUGCUGUGCUUGUGGCUGGGACAGGGCAGGAAUUUGGCUGCAGCACCACGGGCUGUGCUUGUGCCUGUUGUGGCCAUAAUGGAGCAUGUCAGUGUGAGCAGAGCAAUAGCUGCUCGUGUGUUCAGCCACAUGGGCAUCCUCCCCUCCAGUGCCACCACACCUGUGUGCCAGCACAGGUGGGCAGGGGCUGCCUGUCCCAGGGUGACCUGCUCUGGCACAGGCAGAGGAAGCCUGUCCUCCCCAUGGCUGCCCAGCACUGGCUCUGUGCCAUCCUUCAGCAUUCAACUUGCAAGUUUUAUUAUAAAUGUCAAAGUGACAUUUUUUAUAACAAUAUCCUAAUGUAGUCAGCCAGGCAGGUGGAGUUACUCAUAUGUGCUCUAGUCCAAAGGUUUAUAGCAAGCCCAGCUGCAAGAUUAAACCAGAAUAACCCUUGAAUAAAAUCCCCUAUAUAAUCUUGGGGGAAUUUUUGCUAGUGCAGCUUGUGUAUGUUUACUUCUGUGAGCUGGUGCCUAUCAAGGACCAAAAACCCCCAGAACCACAUCAUGGUGCCUCAGGGGCUGUUGGGACAUUUGCUUUCAGGCUGCUGAAGGCUUUGAGGGAGCUCCUGCUGCAGGGAGAGCAGGACAAAGCAGUGGGGCAGGGCUGUUUGCUUGCUGAGCCGGAGAGGUGUGUGCAAUUGAGUACCAAAUCUGCCACAGGCUGCAUAUGUGCAGCAAACCUGAGUUGUGUGUAGAGUGGGAUUGCUCUGGGAAUGGCAGCCUGGGAUCAGCACUCUCUGUCUGUCUUCACCAAACUGUGGAACAGGAGAUGCUGCAGGCAAAGCCAAAAGGGCUGUGUCUGCGUGUGACACAUGAUGUGUCAGCCUGACACAGAGUGAGGAACGGCACCAUAGCUGCCCUGGAAAGCAGGAACUGCUUGGAAAAACAAGAAGGGGUGGAUGUCACUGGGGAGAAGCAGCCAGCACAGACUGAAUGAUGAGAGCAGCACCCAGCCACAGCCUGGCCACAGCCUGGCCACAGCUAUUCCGGUGUGACAGGCCGAGUGCCGCUGUGUUUCCAGUAAAAACACCCACCGCUGUCAGGUGGGGAGGGAGGGAGGAUACCUCACCUGAGAGGGAGGGCACGAAGGGAGGGUGCCUGCUGGGUGCCUUUGAUGUGGUGAAGGGUGGUUUGUGCCAGGCAGGUAGAUCUCAGUGUUGUAUGGAGCAUGGCUGAAUGGUGGAUGAAACCAGCCUGCAAAGCCCAGCUGGCCCCUGUGCCUUUGCCAGGACCACAGCAUUCAUGAGACAGGCUUUGGAUAGCUGGGAAUGGAUAUGGUCCUUGCAGGCAAAGCUGAGCAAAUGUGAAGAGGAGGUGAUUUUAAAUUAAAACCCAAACUAUCUGUGAUUAAGGGCUGUCUCCAGUAGGCACGGUUAUUUCUGAUUUCAGGUUUUGGGAAGUCAUGAAACUGUUUAAGUCCAAGUUGUGUUUCUCCUGCUAUUGCAGGGGCUCCACAUUGCAGUGUCCUAACCUGCCCUCCCAUGUCCACACUUAGCUCAAAAACCCAUUUUUUUUUUCUGAAAAGUAAACUGCUGUCUUUCUUUGGGCAAAUAUUUCUGUGGCUUCUGUUGCAGCAUUAGCCAGAGCUAAUUAGGAAGGCUGUGACAGGCUGAUGAGGGGUUUGGUGUGGACUCAUCAGUGGGCCAUAUGGGUCAGCAGCAUAUCUGCCUGUGGCACACGGCAUUUGGAAGGCGUUUGGAUUUUCCAGACCUGGUUGACCUGUCACUGUGCCCCAGAGGCAUUUCUGAGCACUGUGGUUUCCUGGUUCACUGGCCUUUUGCCUGCCUCUGUGAAAAUUAGAGCAGGCCUGACCCAGAAAGCUGGAUGCAGAAGUGAUCAAUAGUGAUGGUAAUUGUCCAGCAGCACUGCCUGGCUCUUGGUGUCCCAAAAGAAAUAAAAGCAUUCAGAAAACAUGUAGGUGUUCUGGCUCCUGUGGCUGCCUUAUCAACUGCAGGAGGUUUCAGCCUGUGGCCCAAGGGUUGUGGAAGGCUGAGUUUAACAUGCCCCAUCCCUGGUGAAUGACUUUGGUUCUUCUGGUCCCCCUUCCCAGUGAUGGUGGUUCUCCAGCAAGUUUUGCUGUGUGAAGCGUUUGUUCUGCAGCAGGACAGUGCUGAAGGCUCAGGUGAAGGCUGGCAGCAGGGCAGGUGCCAUGGAAAGGGGACACAGCAGCUCCAGCUGUGAUCCCACUGGAGUGAGCGCCUGGGGAAGGAGAUGCAUCUGCUCGUCCCUGAGGGUGUUGUAGACACUAGCUCCUGGACAAGAAAUCAGUCUCAUCCUUAAGGAAAUAAACAAAUCCUGAAGAACAUCCUUUCAGAGCAGUCCCCUCCUGCCUGCCGUGUCCGUUGAGGACAACAAGGGCUUUGUAAGCGCUCAGGGCUCUCGGGAACCGAACCAGCCGCGGUAUGAGCUCAGCGGCUGUAAAUCAGCGGGCUCCAGCGGCUCUAGGGCUGCGUAAAUUCAGUGCUGAUUGCUUUGAUCUCAAUUGCUUUUAUUUCAUACCCUCUGCAGAGAUAGACACAAGGUCACACUAAUGGCUGAUACAUGAAAAACUUAUGUGGCCUUUAUUGAUUUUGGAGUGAUUAAUGAGUCAAAGGGAAGGACAGUGAUUCAUGCACAUGAACGGUGCCUGGGAAUGAGCAAUGCUGACCAAGGUGGCCUUUUAAUUCCAUAAUCAAGCCCGUGUCCAGCUGCUUCAGGGUAGCAGCAUUGCUCUCACAGACGUCUGGGCACUGGGCAAACACCUGUUUGUACGCAGUGAGCUCUCGUGCCCGUGCCUCAGUUCUGUUUGCCUUGCUUUUUGCUGUCCCUUUUGAAAGGGGACCGAAAAUAGCCAGACCUGAACUCUCACUGUAGCUUUGUUGACAAAGCCUCUUGAAGCUUUGCUGCUGCUAUCCCAGGUGGCCCGAGAGGAGAGGCCUGGGAGAGGUAAAGCACAGUGCCUUCCUUGCCCAGCCUCACACCAGGCAGCAGAGCACCCACAGGAGGCAUUCCCCAGCUUUGGCCCUCUGGUCACCAGCAUGUGUGCUCAGUGAAGGAGCUUCAAAGCUGCAGACAAUGGUUUUUGAGUUGCUUUUCCACUUCCUCAAGCAUGUGCAACUUCCUGGAGGCUGCUGAGCUGUGGCAGGGUGGACACCCUCCUUCUACAGCCUCCAUCCCAGUGUACCCCGAGCAUGGGGUCCACAACCCCCAGUUUGCUCUGUGCCACACAUUCAGCUGGAAACUGCUGCAAGGGGAAGUCAUCCUAAUUUUGGAGGGGGACAUCAGGCCCAGCUUGAGGGAUCUGGGCAGUGGUUAUGCAACUUUCCUUCUUGGUAUUUGAAGAAACUUCCCCCUCCUGGUUGUCCCAGCUUUGUGACCAUGACUUAAGCCAUCAUAUUGCUACCAGAGUUCGUUCUGCUGGGCUCACUGCUUUCACAUGGGCUGUCCUGCUGAGUGGGUCAGAGACCUGCUGCACCUCUUAGGGCCUGAGGACCUGCCACAGUUAGGGAUUCAUUUGUUGUUGGCACUGCUGGUGAUCUUUUUUUCUCUUGUCAUUUCGUUGUCUGUUCCUGUGUACAUUGACCUAUGUCCGUGUCCUCCAGCUCCCAGGCUGACCUCCAGAGCUACCCCAGCCCUCCAUGCUGUGGCUGAGUGAGGUCCCAGCCUGCUGGGGGACACUGCCCUAAGGGAAGGGCACAGGAGAACAUUCCUGGUGGCACAGGCAGGUGACAACGCCCACCCUGCAGGCGGCUGUGGCACAGUGCCCCACUCCUGCCUUUGCUUUGCCCGAAGCAGCACAGACACAGAGCAGCCCCACAUGCCCCCAUUCCCACUCAGGAGUGAGGCAGGUGGUUGGCUCCCUCCAAGGGAAACUCAGGGGACACAGGGUGUUGGACCCAGUGCCAUCCUGCUGACCAUGGCACAGUAGGAGAGGGUGGGGAGCAUCAUGGGGAGGCACACAGAAAAACACUGUGCUCCCAAGUUAGCUACUAGGCCAGGUUGGUUUUCCUGUUUACUCCUUAGGUGGAAAAUAGGAAGGGAGUGAAAAACCUCAUCCUCUUGGCUAUAUAAAGGUCUUGUUGUGUGGGCACAGAAAUUUUACCUUCUUUUAGUUUUUUUGCCUUGGUGUUACCAGGUGUGUGGUGUGGGCUGUAGUGUCAGUAAAGCAAAUAAAAGGGGAUGCUGGGAAUAGCAGCUGCUCUGCAGGAGAUGUUUCCUCUUGGAGAAAUUGACUCCUUCGCUGGUCUGCUGCUGAGCACCUGCACUGGGGUUCUGCAAAGCAUGAGGGUCACAGAGGGUCAGGCAGGGCUUGUGUUGCUUGUGCUGGGGACACACAGAGCUCCAGGGACACCUGGCACUCCCAGCUGAUAGCUGCUCACGUCUCAAAAAAAGGGUGGAAGGUGAAGAAAUCGUAUUAUCCCUACAGCAAAUUGUGGGUAGGUUGCCAUGAAAAGGUUGGCUGGCAGGCUUGGCCAGCAGGAGUGAGAGGUCAGAGCAGAUAAGACAUUGCCACGUCAGGAAACUGUUUUGAGUUUACAGCAUCAGGAUGUGUUAUGGGGAUCUUAAACCCUGUGAUCCCAGAGAUGUUGCUAAACCUCAUUUGCCUUGGAUUGUUUGUCCAAAAAGAUACCAAGAGAUGAACUCUUUCUUCCCUUCAUAAUUGCCCAUAAUCUUAUCUGAAGCCUCUGAAGUAUCCAAGAAACUUCUCAAGGGGAUAACAUGGAGAUAACUACCAAACAAAAAAGAAGUUCAAGAGCAGCUAUUUCUGAGGUCUGCUGGGGAAUAGCACCAGUUUCUUGCCCAGCUUUGGUCAUCCUUACUUGUCACAAAGAGAAGGAAAGGAUGCCCAGAGGUGUCCUAAUCUUGCUUUGGCAGUGAUUGGCCUUUCUUGGCCCCUUGCUCCUCUGAGAUAGCUGAAGCUGUUUUGAGGAGUAAAGUCUCAAAGCUGCUUUAGGUAAUUACUAGAAAAUAUUGCUGCAUGGGAGCUGCAGCCCAUGGCUCAGCUGUCCAGCUGCCUUGGCCAGUGGGGUUCGACUUGUCUCACCAAAGGGUGUUUUUGGUGUGUUUGUGCUGUGGGCUUAUGGAUCCCCUUCAGGCAAGGGGCUUGCUGAUAGAUCUGGUGGUGGUUUCAAGGUACCUUUUACUUCACUGGGUUUGUGGCUUCUCACUUGAGAGACAAGCAUCUAAUCAUCUCACCAUGAUUUAGAAAAGUAUGUGCAAUUGUAAAAAGGAUCUUCCAAACAUAUUAUUUCCUUUAAAAUUCAGUUCAGUGUCUGUGUCUGACUAGUCUUCCCAUAACAUUUACUGCCCGACCUGUUCUGGAGUCAGGACCUGGAUUCUGUGUUAAUUAUGGUGGCUUCAUCCAGUUAAUUGAUUUAAAAUGUGACAUUUCAAAGAGAGAAGAAAAAAUUCUUGUCUGACAAAGUGUCUCCCUGAUGCUGGUUCAUGGCUUAGAUACGGUUUUCAGAGAUGUGAGUUGGCCAGGUUUUGCCACUGUUUUUAUGUGCUAUGUGACCUUUUGUGUCAUUCUGGUUCCCAGUCAAAAUGCAAUACCAAGUAAGAGCUGUACCAAAUGUGAGCAUCCUGUGUCAGCACCACAGCAAGUUACUGUGACAAGAUCUAUUUUAUGUAAAUCUUUCUUGAUUAGCAAAAUAAACUGUUUAAGGGAGUAGAGCUAAGUUAAUCAA